GCCAACGACGACAGCACAAUGAAUGCACCAGUUCCCAAUGGAUCACUGAAGUUAAGCAACGUUGCGCAUGGUUAGUAUCCAGA
rnacentral:rRNA from 1 species